AUUGAACGCUGGCGGCAGGCCUAACACAUGCAAGUCGAGCGAGCGGCGGACGGGGGAGUAAUGUCUGGGAAAAUGCCUGAUGGAGGGGGAUAAAUACUGGAAAAGGUAGCUAAUAUCGCAUACCAUCAGAUGUGCCCAGAUGGGGUUAGCUCGUAGGUGGGGUAAUGGCUCACCUAGGCGACGCUCCCUAGCUGGUCUGAGAGGAUGACCAGCCACACUGGAACUGAGACACGGUCCAGACUCCUACGGGAGGCAGCAGUGGGGAAUAUUGCACAAUGGGCGCAAGCCUGAUGCAGCCAUGCCGCGUGUGUGAAGAAGGCCUUCGGGUUGUAAAGCACUUUCAGCGGGGAGGCGUUACCCGCAGAAGAAGCACCGGCUAACUCCGUGCCAGCAGCCGCGGUAAUUC
rnacentral:rRNA from 1 species